rnacentral:tRNA from 1 species
GAGCCCGUAGCUCAGAGGAAGAGCGUUCGGUUCACAUCCGAAAGGUCGAUGGUUCAAGUCCAUCCGGGCUCA